rnacentral:rRNA from 1 species
UGGCGGCGUGCCUAAUACAUGCAAGUCGAACGAGUUCUCGUUGAUGAUCGGUGCUUGCACCGAGAUUCAACAUGGAACGAGUGGCGGACGGGUGAGUAACACGUGGGUAACCUGCCCUUAAGUGGGGGAUAACAUUUGGAAACAGAUGCUAAUACCGCAUAGAUCCAAGAACCGCAUGGUUCUUGGCUGAAAGAUGGCGUAAGCUAUCGCUUUUGGAUGGACCCGCGGCGUAUUAGCUAGUUGGUGAGGUAACGGCUCACCAAGGCGAUGAUACGUAGCCGAACUGAGAGGUUGAUCGGCCACAUUGGGACUGAGACACAGCCCAAACUCCUACGGGAGGCAGCAGUAGGGAAUCUUCCACAAUGGACGCAAGUCUGAUGGAGCAACGCCGCGUGAGUGAAGAAGGCUUUCGGGUCGUAAAACUCUGUUGUUGGAGAAGAAUGGUCGGCAGAGUAACUGUUGUCGGCGUGACGGUAUCCAACCAGAAAGCCACGGCUAACUACGUGCCAGCAGCCGCGGUAAUACGUAGGUGGCAAGCGUUAUCCGGAUUUAUUGGGCGUAAAGCGAGCGCAGGCGGUUUUUUAAGUCUGAUGUGAAAGCCCUCGGCUUAACCGAGGAAGCGCAUCGGAAACUGGGAAACUUGAGUGCAGAAGAGGACAGUGGAACUCCAUGUGUAGCGGUGAAAUGCGUAGAUAUAUGGAAGAACACCAGUGGCGAAGGCGGCUGUCUGGUCUGUAACUGACGCUGAGGCUCGAAAGCAUGGGUAGCGAACAGGAUUAGAUACCCUGGUAGUCCAUGCCGUAAACGAUGAAUGCUAGGUGUUGGAGGGUUUCCGCCCUUCAGUGCCGCAGCUAACGCAUUAAGCAUUCCGCCUGGGGAGUACGACCGCAAGGUUGAAACUCAAAGGAAUUGACGGGGGCCCGCACAAGCGGUGGAGCAUGUGGUUUAAUUCGAAGCAACGCGAAGAACCUUACCAGGUCUUGACAUCUUUUGAUCACCUGAGAGAUCAGGUUUCCCCUUCGGGGGCAAAAUGACAGGUGGUGCAUGGUUGUCGUCAGCUCGUGUCGUGAGAUGUUGGGUUAAGUCCCGCAACGAGCGCAACCCUUAUGACUAGUUGCCAGCAUUUAGUUGGGCACUCUAGUAAGACUGCCGGUGACAAACCGGAGGAAGGUGGGGAUGACGUCAAAUCAUCAUGCCCCUUAUGACCUGGGCUACACACGUGCUACAAUGGAUGGUACAACGAGUUGCGAGACCGCGAGGUCAAGCUAAUCUCUUAAAGCCAUUCUCAGUUCGGACUGUAGGCUGCAACUCGCCUACACGAAGUCGGAAUCGCUAGUAAUCGCGGAUCAGCACGCCGCGGUGAAUACGUUCCCGGGCCUUGUACACACCGCCCGUCACACCAUGAGAGUUUGUAACACCCGAAGCCGGUGGCGUAACCCUUUUAGGGAGCGAGCCGUCUAAGGUGGGACAAAUGAUUAGGGUGAAGU